CUCUGAAACCAUGGCAACAAUGAAGAGAUGAAUGUGAACUGGCACUCAAUGGAUGUUGCUACUAACUGGGGCUCCUGAAGGAGACCCAAGUCUGUGUGGUUUAAACAGCAUGUGUGUAUUUUCUCUCGCAGUUCUUGAGGCUGGAAGUCCAAGAUCAAGGUGUUAGCAGCUCUGGUUUCUGGUGGGAUCGCUCUUCUUGGCGUGUUGGUGGCCUCAUCUUUGCUGUGUCCUCACCCAGGGUUUCCUCUGCAUGGAUUUUCCUGUUAACUCCUCUUCUUCUGAUGAGAACACAUGUUCCAUUGAAUUAGGAUCCCAACCUGAUGACAUUGUUUGACCUUAAUGACCUCUUUAAAGACCUUUUGUCCAAAUACAGCUACACUGGGUGUUAGGGUUUCAACAACACAUGGAUUUUUGAGGAGACAAGUCAGUCUAUAACAACCUCCAUGAAGAUUCCUUAAGACAUUUCAAGUCACCUGUAGGGAGUCAUAAUUAAAAAGGAUCAGAAAAUUCAACAAAUAGAAUUCACACCCUAGAACAAAAAAUAAUAGAAUUAGUCAGAGGAGACAUUAAAGUAAACGUGUAAAAGUUUAAAUAGAUACAAAAAAGAGAAAGAACCACCGGCAUCAAACUUGAAGAAGGACCCCUAUCUUGUUAUCUUGCUAUGAAACAUAUGAGCUGUAUGAUCUGGAGGUUAAACCAAAUGAAGUGUUUACUGUCGUUAUCCCUAUUUGAUGAAGAGGAUACCGAGGCUCACAGAGAAUUCAUAACUUGUCCAAGAUCGUCUAACAUCAAGUAAUCAAGAGUGAAUGACCCCGCAGCACACACACCAGCCGAGACCAACCUUGGAUUGGGGGGAAACUUCCAGAGGCAGAGCAGCAGCAGGGUUUGGUAAAGUCUUUGAAAUAUUCCACUCUGCCUCAGCAAUGUUAAAGGAGCCUAAGUACAAGGAAAGGAAUAAUUUCCAGAGUGAAAUGAAGUUCAGAAGUUUGAGCACAGAAUUUCUAUCGCUUGCUGCUUAUGAACUUGAAAAAUGGAGAAACUUGAAGAAGCCGUCUAUAUUAUCACGAAAGACAAAGAGCAUGCUCCAGUUGCAAUUAAACUUCAUAACUCAG
rnacentral:lncRNA from 1 species